GUGUCAGCCGCCGCGGUAAUACAGAGGGUGCGAGCGUUAAUCGGAAUUACUGGGCGUAAAGCGCACGUAGUCGGCUUUGCAAGUCGGGUGUGAAAUCCCCGGGCUCAACCUGGGAACUGCAUCCGAGACUGCAUUGCUAGAGUAUGGGAGAGGGAAGCGGAAUUUCUGGUGUAGCAGUGAAAUGCGUAGAUAUCAGAAGGAACAUCAGUGGCGAAGGCGGCUUCCUGGACCAAUACUGACGAUCAGGUGCGAAAGCGUGGGGAGCAAACAGGAUUAGAUACCCCCGUAGUCC
rnacentral:rRNA from 1 species